rnacentral:lncRNA from 1 species
CUUCAACUCACAUGGGCAGGGCCUGAGCUGGGAGGAGUGGGGAGCAGGGUAAACUGAUGCAUGCUUUCCGAGCAUCCCUAAUUGUGCUCCUCCAGAUUCCCGGAGUUCUUGACGUUGUCUCCAGUUCUUGGAGUUCUUCAUUUCUUGGAGAUGUUCUUCUUCUGUCUCUCCAGGACCUAGGAACCAUUGCCUAUUUAAGCCAGCAAAAGAGAUGUAACCCAAAAUGCUGGGGCUGGCCAGGGAUGAGACUGAGGAUCAUCCACUCCAACUCCUAUUCCUCACCAGGGGAAGCACAGAACAUAAACUCCACAAGGGCAGAGGUUUCCGUCUGCUUCUUUUGACUGAUGUACCCCAGCACCUAGAACACUGCCGGGCACAUAUCAAGUCCUCAGUAAAUGUAGGAAAACGAGCAAUCCUGUGGGAAGUCAGGGAGGAGGCUGUCUCAAGAAAGAGAAAGAAUUUAACAAUGCCAACACUUCCAAAUGCUGCCGAGAGGUCCAGGUGAGAGCAGAGAUUAGAUGGCAGAGCACGGCUUGAAGAGAG